rnacentral:rRNA from 1 species
GACGAACGCUGGCGGCGCGCCUAACACAUGCAAGUCGAACGGAGCUGAGAGAAGCUUGCUUUUCUUAGCUUAGUGGCGAACGGGUGAGUAACGCGUGAGUAACCUGCCCUGGAGUGGGGGACAACAGUUGGAAACGACUGCUAAUACCGCAUAAGCCCACGAUCCGGCAUCGGAUUGAGGGAAAAGGAUUUAUUCGCUUCAGGAUGGACUCGCGUCCAAUUAGCUAGUUGGUGAGGUAACGGCCCACCAAGGCGACGAUUGGUAGCCGGACUGAGAGGUUGAGCGGCCACAUGGGGGCUGAGAAACGGCCCGGACUCAUACGGGAGGCAGCAGUGGGGGAUAUAGCACAAGGGGGGAAACCAUGAGGCAGCGACGCCGGGAGGAGGAAGAAGGUUUUCGGAUAGUAAACUCCUGUCGUUAGGGACGAUAAUGACGGUACCUAACAAGAAAGCACCGGCUAACUACGUG